rnacentral:tRNA from 1 species
GUCCCCUUCGUCUAGAGGUCUGACACCGCCCUUUCACGGCGGUAACAGGGGUUCGAAUCCCCUAGGGGACGCCA